rnacentral:rRNA from 1 species
AGUGCUCGCAAGAGAACCGGAACACAGGUGCUGCAUGGUUGUCGUCAGCUCGUGUCGUGAGAUGUUGGGUUAAGUCCCGCAACGAGCGCAACCCCUAUUGUUAGUUGCCAUCAUUCAGUUGGGCACUCUAGCGAGACUGCCGGUAAUAAACCGGAGGAAGGUGGGGAUGACGUCAAAUCAUCAUGCCCCUUAUGACCUGGGCUACACACGUGCUACAAUGGUUGGUACAACGAGUUGCGAGUCGGUGACGGCGAGCUAAUCUCUUAAAGCCAAUCUCAGUUCGGAUCGCAGUCUGCAACUCGACUGCGUGAAGUCGGAAUCGCUAGUAAUCGUGGAUCAGCAUGUCACGGUGAAUACGUUCCCGGGUCUU